GAGCCCGGGCUGCACGCCAAGAGGCCCGGAGCCGCAGAUUAGUCACCGCUCGCCUCGGCGCUCACGGAUGCGCCCGGGAACCGGGAGGGCAGGCGUCGGCCCCGCUCCGCCGGGCUCCGGGCGCCUCGGCGCCGCGGCGCGGGUGCCCCCGCCCCGAGCUCCGCGCGCGCCCCGCGCGGCUGGAUGGACUCUCGGGGCUCGCGCUGUCGAGAUCCACUUGUCAGUUCAAGGGCAGGACAGAAACUCUGCAAGCGGAGUCUUGCGAACAGGAAAUUUCUCAUUGACAAGGUGCUGCCCCUCCCCCACGCCCGGCUUCAAAACAAAACAAAAACCCAGCGCGAGCCGCCGACGCACCCAGCAGCGCGCGCCGCCGAGCCCCCAGCCCCCACGGCGACCCCCGCGCCGCGGCCCCGGCCCCGGAGUGGGGAGCUCGCCGACCGCGGGCCCCGAGCGCAGGCGGCGGCGCACGGACGGUCAGGCCCCCGCGGACAGGCUCCGCUCGGGCCCCGCCGAGGGCGCGCAGCUGCUCCCCUCCGGGGCGCGGGCAGGGGCGGGCGGGGGCGCCGAGCCCGGGAGACUCCGCGCCUUCUUGGGCUGUGAACCCGGCGGAGCGGCUUGGCGGAGCUGCAGGAGGCCGCCAGCUCUCCAAUCAUGUCCUUCUGGGGUCGUCCUGGCAACUCACCAACUGCAGUAAAUAUCGCGAAAGGAGUUUGUCUCUUUCUGGGAUCAGCAGGUCUCAGCUGAUCCGUUACGUUCACCAUGGGAAUCUAAGAAUUUAUCAUCUGAGUGAAGAGUUGCCUUCCUCCCAGGGCUUCUCCAAGUUUUUCUCGAAGGAUUCCACCGGCCAGACAGGGCUCUGGAAGCUCAGCCCUCAAGACUUGCCGCACGUGGGAGGCUGCUGGGAGACCGUUUUGAAAAUGCAAGCACACACAGCAACAAGGACGCAUCCCACAAAUGAAACGUUCCGCAAAAGAAGUCUGCCUCAAACGACUGUGCACAAUAGUGUUCCAUUUACAUCAAGUUUUAAAGGGGGCCAAGCCAAUCGAAGGUGUCAGAAGCCAGUGUAGGGGCUACGUGGAGGAAGGGGGACAAUGGAGAGGGGCAUACCCCUUGGGAGGGGGCGCAAGGGGGACUUCUGGGGGGCUGGGCAUACUCUGCACCUUGAUUUGGAUGCUGGCUACACGGGUGUGCUCAGCUUGUAAAAAUUCAUCAAGCUGUACAUUUAGGAUUUAUACACCUUUCUGUCUGCGUGCUGCACGUCGAUAAAAUGUUAACAAAAUAAAAA
rnacentral:lncRNA from 1 species